rnacentral:rRNA from 1 species
GACGUAGGGGGCUAGCGUUGUUCGGAAUUACUGGGCGUAAAGCGUGCGCAGGCGGUGAUGUAAGACAGUUGUGAAAUCCCCGGGCUCAACCUGGGAACUGCAUCUGUGACUGCAUCGCUGGAGUGCGGCAGAGGGGGAUGGAAUUCCGCGUGUAGCAGUGAAAUGCGUAGAUAUGUGGAGGAACACCGAUGGCGAAGGCAGCCUCCUGGGCCAGCACUGACGCUCAUGCACGAGAGCGUGGGAGCAAACAGG